rnacentral:tRNA from 1 species
CCUUCGAUAGCUCAGUUGGUAGAGCGAUGGACUGUAGUGAGAAAUUUUCUUGUUUUAUCGUAGAUAUCCACAGGUCGCUGGUUCGACUCCGGCUCGAAGGA